UGCCAGCAGCCGCGGUAAUACGGAGGGUGCAAGCAUUAAUCGGAUUUAUUGGGCGUAAAGAGCGCGUAGGCGGGAAGGUAAGUCAGACGUGAAAUCCCAGAGCUCAACUCUGGAACUGCAUUUGGAACUACCUUUCUUGAGGAUAGGCGGAGAAGACGGAAUUCCACAUGUAGCGGUGAAAUGCGUAGAUAUGUGGAGGAACACCGGUGGCGAAGGCGGUUUUCUAGCUUAUUCCUGACGCUGAGGCGCGAAAGCAAGGGGAGCAAACAGGAUUAGAUA
rnacentral:rRNA from 1 species